UACGAGGGGGGCGAGCGUUGUUCGGAAUUAUUGGGCGUAAAGGGUGCGUAGGCGGUUCCGCAAGUCCUGUGUGAAAUCUUCGGGCUCAACUCGAAGUCUGCACGGGAAACUGCGGGGGCUUGAGUGUGGGAGAGGUGAGUGGAAUUCCCGGUGUAGCGGUGAAAAUGCGUAGAUAUCGGGAGGAACACCUGUGGCGAAAGCGGCUCACUGGACCAUAACUGACGCUGAUGCACGAAAGCUAGGGGAGCAAACAGG
rnacentral:rRNA from 1 species